rnacentral:ncRNA from 1 species
UGAGACGAUUGUCAUGACGGUUCCCUUCGGGGACGAGAAAGGGAAUGCGGUGAGGCGCGAGCCGAAUCCGCGGCUGCCCCCGCAACUGUGAGCGGCGAGCCCUCCACCACCAUGUCACUGGGCUCCAGCCCGGGAAGACGGUGCGAGGGCAGCGACCCGCGAGCCAGGAGACCUGCCGUCAGCCGUGGUCACACG